rnacentral:rRNA from 1 species
GACGAACGCUGGCGGCGUGCUUAACACAUGCAAGUCGAACGCUGAAGCUUGGUGCUUGCACUGGGUGGAUGAGUGGCGAACGGGUGAGUAAUACGUGAGUAACCUGCCCUUGACUCUGGGAUAAGCCUGGGAAACUGGGGCUAAUACUGGAUAUGACAUGCCACUGCAUGGUGGUGUGUGGAAAGGGGUUUACUGGUUUUGGAUGGGCGCACGGCCUAUCAGCUUGUUGGUGGGGUAAUGGCCGACCAAGGCGACGGCGGGUAGCCGGCCUGAGAGGGUGACCGGCCACACUGGGCCUGCGACACGGCCCAGACUCCUACGGGGGGCAGCAGUGGGAAAUAUUGCACAAUGGGCGGAAGCCUGAUGCAGCGACGCCGCGUGAGGGAUGACGGCCUUCGGGUUGUAAACCUCUUUCAGCACGGAAGAAGCGAGAGUGACGGUACGUGCAGAAGAAGCGCCGGCUAACUACGUG